GGCUCGGUGGUGUAGUUGGUUAUCACGUCAGUCUAACACUUCUUCUGGGGUUAGGUCACUGAAGGUCCCGAGUUCAAACCUCGGCUGAGUCA